CGUGUUUUCAGAUGUGCAGCAGGAGAUUCCUCCGAGCUGACGUCCCUGAAGCUGGACGUGAGGACGGAGGGGUCCCUCCUGUCGAGYGCCGGGGGUCCCGCAGGUUUGUGGUCAGGGCCGUAAAACUAACGAAGAGCCCAGAGCUGACAGCAUCUCUGCACCCCCACCCACCCCCACCAAGCGUUUAUCUUUCCUGCCGCUGCCCAGCAGACCCCACCUCCGAUCCCCAGCACCCCUGAAUCAGCCUGGUUCACAUACACAAGAUUAAGUAGCAAAAGUGACAUCCAAGACCAAUCGGGCCACCCAAGAGAACCACAACCAGCGGAAAGGCUGUCAGAGCCCCCUUUGGCAGCAUUAAUCUUGGAGCCUCUCCUGCUCUGCCAACUCACAUCUCCUUCAAACGCGACAYGGAGGCAGAAGAGUGAACCCUCCCUCCCCAAAGGAGGAUGACGGUUUGCAGUGAUCAACCUGAGAGCUGCCUGAAUAGAAAAGCAGAAAAGAAGAACGCAGAAACCGAUGAGGAGCGGGGGUCCACCUGAGCCCUAACUUUCAUGUCUGAGACCCCACAAGUAAAGACGUGGAACCAGCUAACAGCGGUGUGCCUCGAAUACCUGAUCUGGCUCCACGGUGUCCUGAAAAGCCACAGGCCCGGAGCGGGGAAGCUCUGCGUGCGUCGUGGCGGCAGAGCGCGACCGAAGGCGGCGGUGUUUGUUGACAUCAUGGAGAGAGGCCUGCGGAGGCUGCUUGCGUGUGUGGAGGUGUGCGUGUUGUUUUGAGAAGCUCCAGCUACAAAAUAAGGUGUUGGCAAAGGUUCAAGGAGAAACUCUGACACCGGCUCUUCUGUCCAGCUGCUGAGGCGAAACAGGAUGCUGGCCUUAAUAAUGCUCUGUACGCUUUCCAGCAGAGUGGAGGAGGGUUYUCAUGGCAGCAGGAUAAACUCUCAUUUGUAAAUAAAAACAAGUCAAGAUGGAUGAAGACUUCUUUACUGGAUACACUGAACUUUUGCAGAAAAUUCUAAUUUGUUAUGUACUCUGAAAUAAAAAAUAAAAAAGCAAACUGCUGUGUGUCACACCA